rnacentral:rRNA from 1 species
CCUACGGGUGGCAGCAGUGGGGAAUAUUGGGCAAUGGAGGCAACUCUUACCCAGCAAUGCCGCGUGAAUGAAGAAGGUCUUCGGAUUGUAAAGUUCUUUAAUUGGGGACGAAAAAAAUGACGGUACCCAAGGAAUAAGCCCCGGCUAACUACGUGCCAGCAACCGCGGUAAUACGUAGGGGGCAAGCGUUAUCCGGAUUUACUGGGUGUAAAGGGAGCGUAGACGGUCCUGCAAGCCAGAUGUGAAAGCCCGGGGCUCAACCCCGGGACUGCAUUUGGAACUGUAAGGCUAGAGUGUCGGAGAGGCAGGCGGAAUUCCUAGUGUAGCGGUGAAAUGCGUAGAUAUUAGGAGGAACACCAGUGGCGAAGGCGGCCUGCUGGACGAUGACUGACGUUGAGGCUCGAAAGCGUGGGGAGCAAACAGGAUUAGAUACCCGGGUAGUC